UCUGGCUAAUUUUAGAUCCACAAAUUCUUGAAUAUUUCAUUUGUACAUCUGGACUACAUAGUUUUGUAUUAAUUUGAAAGUUGAGGAAGAUUUCUGCCAGUGGAGAAUAUUUGUGUGAGAUUUAUGAAGUGCCCAUGAAAUGCCACAUUGCUAUGAUGAACUUCGAAAGUAUACAGAGUGCCAAGUGAACAUUGUUAUGAACAUUUAAAUGAACAUUAUUGGAAAUAUGGAUAUGAACAUUGAGAUGAACAUUAGUGCGAACUGUCAAGCCAAGAUGAUGUCAAGAUUUUAUGUUUGUUGUCUUCCCCAUGAAAUGCUAAUGCCCUUGUAAGACUUGACAGUAGUAGAAAAAAAUAUUGACAUAUUUUUUUUCCAAGGGGGGGAGGAAUCUGUUAGGCACCUAGGUUUAUAGUAUUAGUUAUAUAGCGAUGCACCAUAGAAGACGUAUAUUGAACGGUUUUGGGUUAGAAACUGGAAAAUCAGUUAGCAAUAGAAUUCUCUUGGGUAAAGACGUGUUCUAUUUGACAGAGACUCUGACUGUGGCCUUUUAUUGGAUUAAACGUAUUAUUCAUUGUU
rnacentral:sRNA from 1 species